rnacentral:rRNA from 1 species
AGAAUCAACGCUGGCGGCGUGCCUAACACAUGCAAGUCGAACGCGAAAGGGGAGCAAUCCCUGAGUAGAGUGGCAAGCGGGUGAGUAACACGUGGGUGACCUGCCUUCGAGUGGGGGAUAACGUCCCGAAAGGGACGCUAAUACCGCAUGACAUCCUGUCUUUGGACAGACGGAGAUCAAAGCUGGGGAUCGCAAGACCUGGCGCUUGAAGAGGGGCCCGCGCCUGAUUAGCUAGUUGGUGAGGUAACGGCUCACCAAGGCUACGAUCAGUA